rnacentral:rRNA from 1 species
UAGUUGGUAGGGUAACGGCCUACCAAGGCAGAGACGGGUAGGGGGCGUGAGAGCGCGGACCCCCACACUGGCACUGAGAUACGGGCCAGACUCCUACGGGAGGCAGCAGUAAGGGAUAUUGCGCAAUGGACGAAAGUCAGACGCAGCGACGCCGCGUGGGCGAUGAAGGCCUUCGGGUUGUAAAGCCCUUUUAUGGGGGAAGAGAAAAAGGACGGUACCCCAGGGAAUAAGUUCCCGGCUAACUACGUGCCAGCAGCCGCGGUAAAACGUAGGGGACAAGCGUUAUCCGGAUUCACUGGGCGUAAAGAGCGUUGAGGCGGUUCCGUAAGUUGGGCGUGAAAGCUCCGGGCUUAACUCGGAGAUGUCGUUCAAUACUGCGGGGCUUGAGGACAGCGGAGGAAGGUGGAAUUCCCGGUGUAGUGGUGAAAUGCGUAGAUAUCGGGAGGAACACCCGUGGCGAAGGCGGCCUUCUGGGCUGUUCCUGACGCUGAAGGCGAAAGCUAGGGGAGCGAACGGGAUUAGAUACCCCGGUAGUCCUAGCUGUAAACGAUGGAUGCUGGGUGUGGGGGGUGUAAAUUCCCUCUGUGCCGAAGCAAACGCGUUAAGCAUCCCGCCUGGGGACUACGGCCGCAAGGCUAAAACUCAAACGAAUUGACAGGGGCCCGCACAAGCAGCGGAGCGUGUGGUUUAAUUCGAUGCUACACGAAGAACCUUACCUGGGUUUGACAUGCACGUGGUAGGGAACCGAAAGGGGACCGACCUUCGGGAGCGUGCACAGGUGCUGCAUGGCUGUCGUCAGCUCGUGCCGUGAGGUGUCGGGUUAAGUCCCGUAACGAGCGCAACCCUUGCCCUUAGUUACAAGUGUCUAAGGGGACUGCCCGGGACAACUGGGAGGAAGGUGGGGAUGACGUCAAGUCAGCAUGGCCUUUAUAUCCAGGGCUACACACACGCUACAAUGGCCGGUACAAUAGGUUGCGAAGUCGUGAGGCGGAGCCAAUCCUCAAAGCCGGUCUCAGUUCGAAUUGCAGUCUGCAACUCGACUGCAUGAAGCUGGAGUUGCUAGUAAUCGCAGGUCAGCUAUACUGCGGUGAUACGUUCCCGGGCCUUGUACACACCGCCCGUCACGUCAUG